AGGGCAUACGGUGGAUGCCUAGGCGCCAAGAGCCGAAGAAGGACGCGGUAAGCUGCGAAAAGCCACGGGGAACUGCAAGCAAGUAUUGAUCCGUGGAUAUCCGAAUGGGGAAACCCGGCCAUCGUCAUGGAUGGUCACCCGCAAGGGAGGGAACCUGGGGAACUGAAACAUCUAAGUACCCGGAGGAAGAGAAAUCAAACGAGAUGCCCACAGUAGCGGCGAGCGAAGAGGGCAGAGCCCAAACCGAGAAGCUCCGGCUUUUCGGGGUUGAGGACCGGCAGAAUCGAAGUCAGGCCUAGUUGAAUUACCUGGAAAGGUAAGCGAGAGAGGGUAAAAGCCCCGUAGACGAAAGGCAGAGCAGAGAGGCCGAGAUCCAGAGUACCACGAAGCACGAGGAAUUUUGUGGGAAGCAGGGGGGACCACCCUCCAAGGCUAAAAACUACUUGGCGACCGAUAGCGCAUAGUACCGUGAGGGAAAGGUGAAAAGAACCCCGGGAGGGGAGUGAAAUAGUACCUGAAACCGUAUGUCUACAAGCAGUCGAAGCGAAAGCGACGGCGUGCCUAUUGAAGAAUGAACCAACGAGUUAUCUGCACUAGCGAGGUUAAGUGGAAGACACGGAGCCGCAGCGAAAGCGAGUCUUAAGAGGGCGCUAGUUAGUGUAGGUAGACCCGAAACCGCAGUGAUCUACCCAUGUCCAGGUUGAAGCGCAGGUAAAAUUGCGUGGAGGACCGAACCGGUGAGCGUUGAAAAGCUUUCGGAUGAGAUGUGGGUAGGGGUGAAAUUCCAAUCGAACGCGGAGAUAGCUGGUUCUCCCCGAAAUAGCUUUAGGGCUAGCCUGAGGUAGUAAGUAUAGGCGGUAGAGCACUGAUCGGGCUAGGGGCCGUAAAGGUUACCGAACCCUGUCAAACUCCGAAUGGAUAUACUGUAGAGCCUUGGAGUCAGACUACGAGUGAUAAGAUCCGUGGUCAAAAGGGAAACAGCCCAGACCACCAGCUAAGGUCCCCAAUGUCGUACUAAGUGGAAAAGGAUGUGGGGUUUCAUAAACAACCAGGAUGUUGGCUCAGAAGCAGCCACCAUUUAAAGAGUGCGUAAUAGCUCACUGGUCGAGAGACCCUGCGCCGAAGAUUCCCGGGGCUAAAGUACGAAACCGAAGCUGUGGCUGUAUACGUAAAGUAUACGGGGUAGGGGAGCGUUCCCAUAGGGUAGAAGUCGAACUGGAAGGUUCGGUGGACUUGUGGGAAGUGAGAAUGUUGGUAUGAGUAGCGAAAAGAAAGGUGAGAAUCCUUUCCACCGAAAGCAUAAGGAUUCCUGAGCAACGAUCGUCGUCUCAGGGUAAGUCGGGACCUAAUCCGAGGCAGAGAGCGUAGGAGAUGGACAACUGGUUGAUAUUCCAGUACCGGUAGUAAUUGUUUGAGCAAUGGAGUGACACAGAAGGGCAGGCAAGCAUGCGAAUGGAAGAGCAUGUGUAAGCGUGUAGGGUGGUGCAUAGGCAAAUCCGUGCACUGAAAGCCUGAGGCGUGAUGCGGAGUGAGCAGAGAUGCGAGCGAAGUUGUUGACCCCACACUGUCGAGAAAAGCUUCUAGUGAGAGAGCUACCGCCCGUACCGUAAACCGACACAGGUAUGCGGGGAGAGAAUCCUAAGGUGCGCGGGAGAACCCUCGUUAAGGAACUCGGCAAAAUGUACCCGUAACUUCGGGAUAAGGGUAGCCACUGUUGUGAAGUCCCAUGCGGAUGGAGCAUAGAGUGGUCGCAGAGAAGAGGCCCAAGCGACUGUUUACCAUAAACACAGGUGCCUGCUAAAGCGAAAGCUGACGUAUAGGUGCUGACACCUGCCCAGUGCCGGAAGGUUAAGGAAGGAUGUUCGGAGUAAUCCAAAGCAUUCGACUGAAGCCCCGGUGAACGGCGGCCGUAACUAUAACGGUCCUAAGGUAGCGAAAUUCCUUGUCGGGUAAGUUCCGACCCGCACGAAAGGUGUAACGAUUUGGGCACUGUCUCAACGAGGGACCCGGUGAAAUUGAAAUACCUGUGAAGAUGCAGGUUACCCGCGACUGGACAGAAAGACCCCAUGGAGCUUUACUGUAACCUGACAUUGGGUUUUGAUACAUUACGUACAGGAUAGGUGGGAGGCUUGGAAAGCUGGACGCUAGUCUGGCUGGAGCCGACGUUGGGAUACCACCCUUGAUGUAUUGAAAUUCUAACCGCGAGAGUAACGAAAUCCGGGACAGUGUCAGGCGGGCAGUUUGACUGGGGCGGUCGCCUCCGAAAGAGUAACGGAGGCGCCCAAAGGU
rnacentral:rRNA from 1 species